UACGAAUUCAUNGGUCCGGUGAAGUGUUCGGAUCGCUCCGACGUGGGCGGUUCGCUGCCCGCGACGUAGCGAGAAGUCCACUGAACCUUAUCAUUUAGAGGAAGGAGAAGUCGUAACAAGGUUUCCGUAGGUGAACCUGCGGAAGGAUCAUUG
rnacentral:rRNA from 1 species